UAUAUAUAUAUAUAUAUAUAUAUUUGUAUUGUAUUUAUUUUUUAAAUAAAUUUACAAAAUUUUUGGACCUUCACUUCAAUAAUAUCUCAACGGUUGUUCAGCAAUAACAAGAUAAAAUAAUGCUCAACGGUUGUUCAGCAAUAUUAAGAUGUCAAAAUUAAAAUUUUAACUCUCUUUCCUGCAAGACUGGUUCAAGGUUUUAUUGAGAUCAAGGUUUGAUACCCCAAUUAUAAAAAAAGUGUAUUCUUUAAAAUUCAGAAAAGGAUAUUUUGAGGAUAUGUGCAUGCAGUGUUGUUGAAGAACAUGCAUUUAUUCACACUUUUGAAAACGUCUGAAAAUAACUUUAAAUUUUGAACAGGUGGUUACGCCUGGGUUUCCAACACACAAAAACGUUGAAAAAGCGUUGAAUCUUCGAUGAUAUUAAUUUAAUGACUACUAUUGCUCUAAGAAUAACCAAUACUGAAUGUCAGACGUCUUUUGCAAUCAAAGUACUUAACACAAAAACUUUCCAACUUUUAUGUCAAAAACGGUUUAAAAACAUUUUCUAAGGAAAUAUUUUUAUAUUAAAACUAAUUUCAAGUUUGUUAGUGCUGGUAUACUUUAUAUGAUAUACUAUUUGCAUA